rnacentral:lncRNA from 1 species
CACUUUCCCAGUAAACCAGUUAGGAGAUGUUCCGCCCCAAGGUUUGAAGUCAUAAUGAUCACUGUAUUCCUAAAAUCAACUGUACGACCUUGACCAUCAGUUAAUCGCCCAUCAUCUAGAACUUGCAGGAGAGUAUUGAAAACUGUAGGGUGAGCUUUCUCCACUUCAUCAAACAAUAUAACACUAUAUGGCCUCCGCCUCACAGCCUCCGUGAGUUGUCCACCUUCUUCAUGACCAACAUAUCUGUAGAAAUAUAACAUCAGUCAGACUCUACUAUACAGAAAUGCAAGAGCAAUUACCAAAAAUAAAUCUCUAAGAAUGAUCAGACAAGGCAUUUGAACAAAACUUACCCAGGAGGAGCGCCAAUCAGACGUGCAACAGAAUGUUGCUCCAUAUACUCAGACAUAUCAAUUCGGACAAUUAGAUUUUCGUCAUCGAAAAGUUGCUCAGCAAGGGCCUUUGCAAGCUCAGUUUUACCAACACCUGUUGGACCCAAGAAAAGAAAUGAUCCAGUUGGUUGCUGCGGUCGGCCUAAUCCAGCUCUUGAUCUCAACACGGCUUCUGCCACAGCAUCCACUGCCUGGUUUUGACCCACCACCCUCUUAUGCAAUCUCUCACCAAGUCCAAUUAACCUGUGUUUGUCAUCCUGGCCAAGCCUUGUUACUGGUAUACCAGUCCAACGGCUUACAACCUCUGCAAUGUGUUCUGGUCCAACAGUUUCAGUCAACAUCAAGUUCUCCUCUGUGCUUCCUUCAAGCUGAGCAAUAGCAGAUUCCACUUCUUGAAUAGCCCCGUAACGCAAAUCAGCAGCCCU